UACGGGGGGGGGGCAAGCGUUGUUCGGAAUUACUGGGCGUAAAGGGCUCGUAGGCGGCCAACUAAGUCGGAUGUGAAAUCCCCAGGCUCAACUUGGGAACUGCAUCCGAUACUGGAUGGCUUGAAUCCGGGAGAGGGAUGCAGAAUUCCAGGUGUAGCGGUGAAAUGCGUAGAUAUCUGGAGGAAUACCGGUGGCGAAGGCGGCAUCCUGGACCGGCAUUGACGCUGAUGAGCGAAAGCUAGGGGAGCAAACGGG
rnacentral:rRNA from 1 species